rnacentral:snoRNA from 1 species
UCGCACAGUGAAUACCCAAGUGUGCUUCAUAGUUCCCUUGGCUUUGACAUUGUGCUAGAGCAACGACUGGUCUUUUCCUAAAUAAAUAAAUGU